UACGGAGGGGGCUAGCGUUGUCCGAAGUUACUGGGCGUAAAGCGCGCGUAGGCGGGUUGGUAAGUCCGCUGUGAAAGCCCGGAGCUCAACUCCGGAGGGUCGGUGGAUACUGCCAGUCUUGAAGGUGCUAGGGGGAGAUGGAAUUACCGGUGUAGCGGUGAAAUGCGUAGAUAUCGGUAGGAACACCAGUGGCGAAGGCGGUCUCCUGGGGCAUUCUUGACGCUGAGGCGCGAGAGCUGGGGGAGCGAACGGG
rnacentral:rRNA from 1 species